rnacentral:rRNA from 1 species
GAUUACCUUAGUAACGGCGAGUGAAGCGGUAAAAGCUCAAAUUUGAAAUCUGGUACUUUCAGUGCCCGAGUUGUAAUUUGUAGAAUUUGUCUUUGAUUAGGUCCUUGUCUAUGUUCCUUGGAACAGGACGUCAUAGAGGGUGAGAAUCCCGUUUGGCGAGGAUACCUUUUCUCUGUAAGACUUUUUCGAAGAGUCGAGUUGUUUGGGAAUGCAGCUCAAAGUGGGUGGUAAAUUCCAUCUAAAGCUAAAUAUUGGCGAGAGACCGAUAGCGAACAAGUACAGUGAUGGAAAGAUGAAAAGAACUUUGAAAAGAGAGUGAAAAAGUACGUGAAAUUGUUGAAAGGGAAGGGCAUUUGAUCAGACAUGGUGUUUUUUGCAUGCACUCGCCUCUCGUGGGCUUGGGCCUCUCAAAAAUUUCACUGGGCCAACAUCAAUUCUGGCAGCAGGAUAAAUCAUUAAGAAUGUAGCUACUUCGGUAGUGUUAUAGCUUUUUGGAAUACUGUUAGCCGGGAUUGAGGACUGCGCUUCGGCAAGGAUGUUGGCAUAAUGGUUAAAUGCCGCCCGUCUUGAAACACGGAC